CCUACGGGAGGCAGCAGUGAGGAAUAUUGCGCAAUGGGGGAAACCCUGACGCAGCGACGCCGCGUGGGUGAAGAAGGCCUUCGGGUUGUAAAGCCCUGUCAGGUGGGAAGAAGUGUAUCAUGGCUAAUAUCCAUGGUAUUUGACGGUACCACCAAAGGAAGCACCGGCU
rnacentral:rRNA from 1 species